AGGGGGAUCGUACAGCGGUCCAGUACCCCGGCCUUUGACGCCGGUAACCUAGGUUCAAAUCCUAGUCCCCCUGCCA
rnacentral:tRNA from 1 species